rnacentral:piRNA from 1 species
UAUAGAUGGUUGUGAGUCAGAAUGUGG